rnacentral:rRNA from 1 species
AUCCUACGGGAGGCAGCAGUAGGGAAUCUUCCACAAUGGACGAAAGUCUGAUGGAGCAACGCCGCGUGAGUGAAGAAGGGUUUCGGCUCGUAAAACUCUGUUGUUAAAGAAGAACAUAUCUGAGAGUAACUGUUCAGGUAUUGACGGUAUUUAACCAGAAAGCCACGGCUAACUACGUGCCAGCAGCCGCGGUAAUAAU